AGAACGAACGCUGGCGGCAUGCCUAACACAUGCAAGUCGAACGAGAUCUUCGGAUCUAGUGGCGCACGGGUGCGUAACGCGUGGGAAUCUACCCUUGGGUUCGGAAUAACAGUUGGAAACGACUGCUAAUACCGGAUGAUGACGUAAGUCCAAAGAUUUAUCGCCCAAGGAUGAGCCCGCGUAGGAUUAGCUAGUUGGUGAGGUAAAGGCUCACCAAGGCGACGAUCCUUAGCUGGUCUGAGAGGAUGACCAGCCACACUGGGACUGAGACACGGCCCAGACUCCUACGGAGGCAGCAGUGGGGAAUAUUGGACAAUGGGCGAAAGCCUGAUCCAGCAAUGCCGCGUGAGUGAUGAAGGCCGUUAGGGUUGUAAAGCUUCCGUUUUUACCCGGUGAUGAUAAUGAACAGUAGCGGAGAAGUAAGCUCCGGCUAACUCCGUGCCAGCAGCCGC
rnacentral:rRNA from 1 species